UACGUAGGGGGCAAGCGUUGUCCGGAUUUAUUGGGCGUAAAGAGCGUGUAGGCGGCCUGAAAGGUCAGCUGUGAAAACUCGAGGCUCAACCUCGAGACGUCGGUUGAAACCAUCUGGCUAGAGUCCGGAAGAGGAGAGUGGAAUUCCCGGUGUAGCGGUGAAAUGCGCAGAUAUCAGGAGGAACCCCGGUGGCGAAGGCGGGUCUCUGGCCGUUACUGACGCUGAGGAGCGAAAGCGUGGGGAGCGAACAGG
rnacentral:rRNA from 1 species